AGGCCAUAGCGGCGGCCAUGGCGGAUUCUGAGACGGUGUCCAUAGGGGAAGCGACGAGGGGGACGGAGAGGCGGAGGUUGCGGGAGAGGUUAGUGGAGAGGUUGACGGCGUCGGAGGGAAAGUCGAUGUAGUGAGGGAGGAAGAUGACGUCGUCAUAGGUGUAGGAGAAACCCUGGUUGAAAAGCUUCUCCGCCGUGAAACCAUCUUCGAUUGGUGGCGGCGUAAGGUCCAUUUUUGUGGCGGCGGAGAGGAGGGUUCAGUAAGGGUCCUGUGGAUUAAUGUUUUUUUAACUUUCUAUUUAUAUUUGGUUUAUAAAUGCCGCUAUUAGGUGUGGUAACGGUAGUAGAGCCAGUAAUGUCGUGGUAAUAGUACUAGAGUGAUUAAUGACUCCAACUGCUUCCAAAAAUCAACUUUUAAUAUUUGUUUUUUUGAACAUUUUGUGUAACUUCAUGUGAAUAUGUGAUUGGUCAGAAAAAAUAUAUUUGAAUUAAAAUUUUAUUAUUAAAUAUACUUUUAAUCAAUCAUUAAUUUAUAGUACAUAGAAGUGACAUAAGAUGUAUGAUAGUAGAUAUGCUCUCAUCCAAACUAAUACAUCCUUGGUUUGCUGAAUUUCAACUAUCCAAGUUGACGCUGGUUCGUGGAAGCAUCACCAAUUCCUCAAAAUCCAAACUAACACAUCAUUGGUAACAUGUACCAUAUACCAAAGAAAAACAUAUGUAUAGUUAGUGAAAAAUUUGAUGGUUGGUCCACCAAUUCUUAAAUAAAUAAAUAUUUUUAAAAUAAAUAACUUACUAAGAAAUUAUAUAUAUUAAUAUUAAUACAAAUGUUAAGAUUAAUAUUAAUAUUAAUCAUAAUAUUAUUCAUAAUAUGUUAUUAAGAAAAUAGUUUUUGCACUAAUUGUUUAAGAAUUUUUAAAUAAUAUAUAUUUUAUUAUUAGUUUGUUAAUUAUUAUUGACUAUUAAAUAAAAGAAAUAUGCUAUGGUGUACUUUAUAUAAAAAACUAUAAUAAAAUUGCAUUAAUAUUAAACUCUACGGUAUUUUGUUUUUCCCCCUUUAUUUAGUAACCAAGUGGUAAUUUACUAUUAAACGGUAAAGCGUUUUUGUUUUGUAUGGGAGUGUAAGGGCUAAAGUGUAAACAAUAUUUUAGUCUACAAAAUUCAAAAGUUUUUGAGUUUAUAAAGGAUGAGAUGGUGUCCUCUGCUCAACGGCUCUAUUUAAUCCCAGAAAAAAAAUUAAAAAAAUUAUUUCAUAUCUUAAAUAUCAAUACUAAAUAUGAUUCGAUCGGGAUUAGAAAAUACAAAAUUCAGAUUUAAUAAGACAAGCAAUCAAAGCAACAAGUAAAAAUCCACAACUCAUUCACUUUGCUCAACAGAUGACAAGAAGUUUUGCAUGAUUAUAUAUGUAACCUUUACGUGUCCAUAUAUCAUAUGUUUUUUAUACAAAUUUAAAAAUAUUAGGGUAAAAUAGGAAAAUAUAAAGGUAGUUAAGUAAAGAUAAUGUAACUCGACAAUUAGAUUGUAAAAUUUCAACCUUUUUUUUCUAGGGCAAGAAUCGACAACCCUAGUGUAGAAUUUCAUUUUUUAAAUAUAACUGGACAAUCCCAUUAUAAAAUUUCAAUUUUUGUUCUAGGGCAAGAAUACUAGCCCAUCCAAUUGGCAAUGGAUUGGUUUCUAGCUCUAUAUGUUUAGUAUGCAAUCCUAACUCUACUAGUCUAUUUCUUCUUCAUACAACAUUUUUCUUUAUGCAACAUUCUUCUUCAUAAAGCAUAUUUACAAAAAAAAAACAUAUACACACUUAACUUUACUUCACCUUAUUGUUCUUUGAUAUAGCCACUUCAUAUUGUUGAGGGAUAUAACCACUUCUUAUACACACAAAUCCUUAUUCUAUGAUAAUACAUAGUGGCAGCCUCUCAAUGCUCUUAGGGAUAUAGAUACAAUUAGUCGAACCUCAUUACCAAACCUCUUAUAUUAUUCUCUUUUCUCUAUACUCUUUUACUAUUUGAUUGCUCGUUUGUUCCCAACAAUUAGUAUUAGAUAACUUAUCUCAGGUGCCAAAUUCGAGGCAGGGAGUUCAAUGGAACUGGUAAUUGCGGAUUAUGGCAAAGGACGAUUAAUGAUGUGUUGGCUCAACAAGGUCUAUCAGGCGUUGUGUGAGAAUAAACCAGAUAGUAUGGAUAAACUAUAUUGGGAAGAGUUGAAGGAGAAGGUUGUGGAACCAUACGACUCUGUCUAUCAUAUGAGGUGGUGUAUUAUGUUAUGGAGUUGACGUCACCAACAAAGGUAUGAGAGACAUUAGAGAAGCAAUUCAUGUCCCAGUCUCUAACAAAUAAGUUGUAUUUGAAACAAAGACUAUAUAUAUAGUCAUUAACCUUUAAUGAGAGCUUACAUCGGCACUCAUAUGUGAGUAUAUGACCAGCCAAUGAAGAAACGCGGACAAUUAUUAAAUCCAAGAUUUUCCUGUCAAAGUGGUUUGAUCCUACCAGUAGUGCGGCCCGCCAAAUUUCAUUGGCUAUUGAGCUCUGAAUAAUAUUUACUCAAUCCUACUCAAAACUAAUCGAUUUAUCAAAUGGGAAAGUCAUUCAAAACUCACAAUCAAAAGCCUGAUAAAAGUAACCAAUGUUUCAAAUUUCAACCCUUCAGAUUCAUUAGCAAAAAUAAACAAUGAUUCAAUAAAUCAUCAAGAGACCCCAUAAAGUGAAAAAAAUAUAUACCUGACCGCGUCCAACUGCGCAAACCUCUUGUGUAGUGCAUAUGGAACCAGACCCCAUACCAACCCUCAACCCAUCAACACCAGCCUGAAUCAAAUUCUCGGCCUGAUACAUUGUCACCACAUUCCCACCAAUCACAUCGAUCUCAGGGUACACUUUCUUCACAUACUUGAUCAUCUCUAACUGAUAAACAGAGUUACCCUGAGAACUAUCAAGCACUACCACAUUCACUCCAGCCUUCACCAAUUGCUCUAACCUCUCCUUAUCUUCUUCCCUUGUCCCGAUUGCUGCCCCCACCAUCCAUUCCCCGUUCGCCCCCACCGAUCCCUUGGCCAACAAUUUUGGAUACCCUUUAACCCUAUCCACAUCCUCCCUUGUCACAAAAUCCACCAAUUCACUGUCAUCCCUCACCAAACCAACGAAAUUCGCCUUCUUCUCAUUCAAAGUUUCAUCGAUUUUUGCCAAAUCAUAGCUCCAUGGCACAGUAACAGGUGAUUCAACUAAAUAAUCACGCACUCUACUACAGCUCUUAUUGUUUUGAUUCGUUAUCCAAUUUUCUCUCGAGACAUACCCGAGGAGGUUGGAUUUGGAGUUUCCGGACUCGGUGACGAGAAUGAACGGCGAGUCAGCAAAGUCCUCGACGGAGGUGAUCUCGGCGGAGGGAGGGAGGAAGACGGGGUCGUGGAGGAUGGGGACGCGUCUGGACUUAGCGGCGCGGACGAGGGACGCUUGGACGGCGGCGGUGGUAUUGGAGUGGAUGAUGGCGAUGCCACCGAGGGAGGCCAUAGCGGCGGCCAUGGCGGAUUCUGAGACGGUGUCCAUAGGGGAAGCGACGAGGGGGACGGAGAGGCGGAGGUUGCGGGAGAGGUUAGUGGAGAGGUUGACGGCGUCGGAGGGAAAGUCGAUGUAGUGAGGGAGGAAGAUGACGUCGUCAUAGGUGUAGGAGAAACCCUGGUUGAAAAGCUUCUCCGCCGUGAAACCAUCUUCGAUUGGUGGCGGCGUAAGGUCCAUUUUUGUGGCGGCGGAGAGGAGGGUUCAGUAAGGGUCCUGUGGAUUAAUGUUUUUUUAACUUUCUAUUUAUAUUUGGUUUAUAAAUGCCGCUAUUAGGUGUGGUAACGGUAGUAGAGCCAGUAAUGUCGUGGUAAUAGUACUAGAGUGAUUAAUGACUCCAACUGCUUCCAAAAAUCAACUUUU
rnacentral:lncRNA from 1 species